GACGAACGCUGGCGGCGUGCUUAACACAUGCAAGUCGAACGGAAAGGCCCUGCUUUUGUGGGGUGCUCGAGUGGCGAACGGGUGAGUAACACGUGAGUAACCUGCCCUUGACUUUGGGAUAACUUCAGGAAACUGGGGCUAAUACCGGAUAGGAGCUCCUGCUGCAUGGUGGGGGUUGGAAAGUUUCGGCGGUUGGGGAUGGACUCGCGGCUUAUCAGCUUGUUGGUGGGGUAGUGGCUUACCAAGGCUUUGACGGGUAGCCGGCCUGAGAGGGUGACCGGCCACAUUGGGACUGAGAUACGGCCCAGACUCCUACGGGAGGCAACAGUGGGGAAUAGUGCACAAUGGGCGGAAGCCUGAUGCAGCAACGCCGCGUGCGGGAUGACGGCCUUCGGGUUGUAAACCGCUUUCGCCUGUGACGAAGCGUGAGUGACGGUAAUGGGUAAAGAAGCACCGGCUAACUACGU
rnacentral:rRNA from 1 species